GUAUAAGUUAAUGGCCUUUCGGCACAAUCACGUUCGAUAAUUAGAAUAGUGUUUGUAGUGAAGAAGGCCGAGUUUUUACCUCGAACCUUCAAAGUGUGCACAGGUGUAUGGGAUAAGAAUUUGGAAGCGAGCACAUGCAGAGAACUGCCAGCAUCAACUUCCGGUAAAUUCAUUAAUGAUCCUUCCGCAGGUUCACCUACGGAAA
rnacentral:misc_RNA from 1 species